rnacentral:misc_RNA from 1 species
CCAUAGCCCCGAUAGUAGCGGUUACCCCACAGUUGGGUUGGAGAAUUGGAGGGUUUGGGGAUGGAGAGCGGUGGCGCGAGGAGUAAUAGCGGAUAGCGGGAAAUAGC